rnacentral:rRNA from 1 species
CCCUUAGAUGUUCUGGGCCGCACGCGCGCUACACUGAUGCAUUCAACAAGCCUAGCCUUGACCGAGAGGUCCGGGUAAUCUUUGAAACUGCAUCGUGAUGGGGCUAGAUUAUUGCAAUUAUUAAUCUUCAACGAGGAAUGCCUAGUAAGCGUGAUUCAUCAAAUCGCGUUGAAUACGUCCCUGCCCUUUGUACACACCGCCCGUCGCUCCUACCGAUUGAGUGGUCCGGUGAGGCUUUGGGAUCUGAGCGGAAAGAGCGUUUCGCUGUUUCUGCUCGGAAAACUCAGUCGAACCUUAUCAUUUAGAGGAAGGAGAAGUCGUAACA